CAGUGGUUAGUCGUCAUUCAGUACUUUUUCUAGAAAUAGAAUAUCAGACAUAUGAUGUAUAUCAAUGUAAAUAUGGACCUUUGACAACAAAAAUUGACAGGAGCCCAUUAACCAUUUUGUGUGAUCUAAGAAAGACAACUCUGCAUCAGUGUCUAGUAUAUGGGCAGUUUGAAAAUUCAAAUAACAGUGUCAUCUUUUCAAUGUUUUUAUUCUUCUUUCAGGUACGAGGUGCAUGAUCUGAUGGAUGGACGGAGAGAAAAACUGCUGGUCAGCUGAAGUGAUAGACGGACUACCUGAUAGAUGAAGAAGUUUGAGAUUUGUUUUCUGAAGGACUCCAUGCCUGCAAGAUGGUGAAUAAUAGUAGCUGCACACACAGGAGUUCAAGGAGAAGAGAACGUGCCUUAGCGACACAGCAGGUCAGCAGAAGUCCGUGUAUCCACACCGAGACUCGGGAAAAUAGUUGAUAAGCAGUCCAUAAUGAAUAGCCCAGCCAAAGAAAACUGACCAUCGUUUCCUUAUUGUUUGAUUGUCAUUGACUAAAGCCAAUAAACACGAUUUAAGUGACAAGGGUCGGAAUUGGAGUUAUGAUAAUGCUCUCUGAAUAUCUGUAGAACUCGAACAAUAUUUUCAUUAAAACUUGCAGACGAUGAAAGGAAGAGGAAAUCAUUACAUCACUGGGAGGAA